GAUGAAGAACGCAGCGAAAUGCGAUAAGUAAUGUGAAUUGCAGAAUUCAGUGAAUCAUCGAAUCUUUGAACGCACAUUGCGCCCGUCAGUAUUCUGGCGGGCAUGCCUGUUCGAGCGUCAUUACGCCCCUCAAGUCCCCUGUGGACUUGGUGUUGGGGAUCGGCGAGGCUGGUUUUCCAGCACAGCCGUCCCUUAAAUUAAUUGGCGGUCUCGCCGUGGCCCUCCUCUGCGCAGUAGUAAAACACUCGCAACAGGAGCCCNNNNCGGUCCACUGCCGUAAAACCCCCCAACUUUUUAUAGUUGACCUCGAAUCAGGUAGGACUACCCGCUGAACUUAAGCAUAUCAAUAAGCGGAGGA
rnacentral:misc_RNA from 1 species